rnacentral:rRNA from 1 species
AUACGGAGGACGCGAGCGUUAUCCGGAUUCAUUGGGUUUAAAGGGUGCGCAGGCGGCCGUGCAAGUCAGCGGUGAAAGCCCGGGGCUCAACCCCGGAAGUGCCGUUGAUACUGCAUGGCUGGAAAGCGGUCGAGGCGGGCGGAACGUGGCGGGUAGCGGGGAAAUGCGUAGAUAUGCCACAGAACGCCGAUAGCGGAGGCAGCUCGCCAGGCCUGCAUUGACGCUCGGGCACGAAAGCGGGGGGAUCGAACAGGAUUAGAUACCCUGGUAGUCCACGCCGUAAACGAUGGGCGCUCGUCGUCGGCGACAGACAGUCGGCGGCCAAGCGAAAGCGAUAAGCGCCCCACCUGGGGAGUACGGUCGCAAGGCUGAAACUCAAAUGAAUUGACGGGG